rnacentral:rRNA from 1 species
UACGUAGGCAGCAAGCGUUGUUCGGAAUUAUUGGGCGUAAAGGGUGUGUAGGCGGUUAUUUAAGUUUGGUGUGAAAUCUCCCGGCUCAACCGGGAGGGUGCGCCGAAUACUGAAUGACUUGGAGUGCGGGAGAGGUGAGUGGAAUUCCUGGUGUAGCGGUGAAAUGCGUAGAUAUCAGGAGGAACACCGGUGGUGUAGACGGCUCACUGGACCGUAACUGACGCUGAGACACGAAAGCGUGGGUAGCAAACAGG